rnacentral:rRNA from 1 species
GAAUAUUGCACAAUGGGCGCAAGCCUGAUGCAGCCAUGCCGCGGGUAUGAAGAAGGCCCUCGGGUUGUAAAGUACUUUCUGCGAGGAGGAAGGCAUUAAGGUUAAUAACCUUGGUGAUUAACGUUACUCGCAGAAGAAGCACCGGCUAACGCCGUGCCAGCAGCCGCGGUAAUACGGAGGGUGCAAGCGUUAAUCGGAAUUACUGGGCGUAAAGCGCACGCAGGCGGUGUGUCAAGUCGGAUGUGAAAGCCCCGGGCUCAACCUGGGAACUGCAUUCGAAACUGGCAGGCUAGAGUCUUGUAGAGGGGGGUAGAAUUCCAGGUGUAGCGGUGAAAUGCGUAGAGAUCUGGAGGAAUACCGGUGGCGAAGGCGGCCCCCUGGACAAAGACUGACGCUCAGGUGCGAAAGCGUGGGGAGCAAACA